rnacentral:rRNA from 1 species
GAUGAACGCUGGCGGCGUGCCUAAUACAUGCAAGUCGAGCGAACGGACGAGAAGCUUGCUUCUCUGAUGUUAGCGGCGGACGGGUGAGUAACACGUGGAUAACCUACCUAUAAGACUGGGAUAACUUCGGGAAACCGGAGCUAAUACCGGAUAAUAUUUUGAACCGCAUGGUUCAAAAGUGAAAGACGGUCUUGCUGUCACUUAUAGAUGGAUCCGCGCUGCAUUAGCUAGUUGGUAAGGUAACGGCUUACCAAGGCAACGAUGCAUAGCCGACCUGAGAGGGUGAUCGGCCACACUGGAACUGAGACACGGUCCAGACUCCUACGGGAGGCAGCAGUAGGGAAUCUUCCGCAAUGGGCGAAAGCCUGACGGAGCAACGCCGCGUGAGUGAUGAAGGUCUUCGGAUCGUAAAACUCUGUUAUUAGGGAAGAACAUAUGUGUAAGUAACUGUGCACAUCUUGACGGUACCUAAUCAGAAAGCCACGGCUAACUACGUGCCAGCAGCCGCGGUAAUACGUAGGUGGCAAGCGUUAUCCGGAAUUAUUGGGCGUAAAGCGCGCGUAGGCGGUUUUUUAAGUCUGAUGUGAAAGCCCACGGCUCAACCGUGGAGGGUCAUUGGAAACUGGAAAACUUGAGUGCAGAAGAGGAAAGUGGAAUUCCAUGUGUAGCGGUGAAAUGCGCAGAGAUAUGGAGGAACACCAGUGGCGAAGGCGACUUUCUGGUCUGUAACUGACGCUGAUGUGCGAAAGCGUGGGGAUCAAACAGGAUUAGAUACCCUGGUAGUCCACGCCGUAAACGAUGAGUGCUAAGUGUUAGGGGGUUUCCGCCCCUUAGUGCUGCAGCUAACGCAUUAAGCACUCCGCCUGGGGAGUACGACCGCAAGGUUGAAACUCAAAGGAAUUGACGGGGACCCGCACAGGCGGUGGAGCAUGUGGUUUAAUUCGAAGCAACGCGAAGAACCUUACCAAAUCUUGACAUCCUUUGACAACUCUAGAGAUAGAGCCUUCCCCUUCGGGGGACAAAGUGACAGGUGGUGCAUGGUUGUCGUCAGCUCGUGUCGUGAGAUGUUGGGUUAAGUCCCGCAACGAGCGCAACCCUUAAGCUUAGUUGCCAUCAUUAAGUUGGGCACUCUAAGUUGACUGCCGGUGACAAACCGGAGGAAGGUGGGGAUGACGUCAAAUCAUCAUGCCCCUUAUGAUUUGGGCUACACACGUGCUACAAUGGACAAUACAAAGGGCAGCGAAACCGCGAGGUCAAGCAAAUCCCAUAAAGUUGUUCUCAGUUCGGAUGGUAGUCUGCAACUCGACUACAUGAAGCUGGAAUCGCUAGUAAUCGUAGAUCAGCAUGCUACGGUGAAUACGUUCCCGGGUCU